GAUGAACGCUGGCGGCGUGCCUAAUACAUGCAAGUCGAGCGAACGGACGAGAAGCUUGCUUCUCUGAUGUUAGCGGCGGACGGGUGAGUAACACGUGGAUAACCUACCUAUAAGACUGGGAUAACUUCGGGAAACCGUAGCUAAUACCGGAUAAUAUUUUGAACCGCAUGGUUCAAAAGUGAAAGACGGUCUUGCUGUCACUUAUAGAUGGAUUCGCGCUGCAUUAGCUAGUUGGUAAGGUAACGGCUUACCAAGGCAACGAUGCAUAGCCGACCUGAGAGGGUGAUCGGCCACACUGGAACUGAGACACGGUCCAGACUCCUACGGGAGGCAGCAGUAGGGAAUCUUCCGCAAUGGGCGAAAGCCUGACGGAGCAACGCCGCGUGAGUGAUGAAGGUCUUCGGAUCGUAAAACUCUGUUAUUAGGGAAGAACAUAUGUGUAAGUAACUGUGCACAUCUUGACGGUACCUAAUCAGAAAGCCACGGCUAACUACGUG
rnacentral:rRNA from 1 species